rnacentral:rRNA from 1 species
CCUACGGGUGACUGCAGUGGGGAAUAUUGCACAAUGGGGGAAACCCUGAUGCAGCGACGCCGCGUGAGUGAAGAAGUAAUUCGUUAUGUAAAGCUCUAUCAGCAGGGAAGAAAAUGACGGUACCUGAGUAAGAAGCCCCGGCUAACUACGUGCCAGCAGCCGCGGUAAUACGUAGGGGGCAAGCGUUAUCCGGAUUUACUGGGUGUAAAGGGAGCGUAGACGGCAGUGCAAGUCUGGAGUGAAAGGCGGGGGCUCAACCCCCGGACUGCUCUGGAAACUGUACGGCUGGAGUGCAGGAGAGGUAAGUUGACUUCCUCGUGUAGCGGUGAAAUGCGUCGAUAUUAGGCGGAACACCAGUGGCGCAGGCGGCUUACUGGACUGUACCUGCCGUUGAGGCUCGACAGCGUGGGGAGCACACAGGCUUAGAUACCCCAGUAGUC